GAUCGCAGUGAUGACUCAGGAAAUUCAAGCUCAACAGACCGGAAUGCAGGCUUCUCUUCAUUGAGAUGUUUGCGUGUCGAUAUUCCCGCUGACCUGAGCGAUC